UAAAGUGCGAAAAGUAAUGUGAACAGCACAAUUGUGAAUCAUCAAGUUUUUGAACGCACAUUGCGCACUCUGUAGGGAGUGCAUAUGAGGUUGAGGGUUGGAUACAAACAUCAGCACUUUGGCUGCUGGGAUGAGGUCGAAUCCGUGUUGGGGGGAUUGGCCUUGAAAUGAAAGGCAGUCUUGCACAGUGGAGAUUGUGUGGUGAGGUGUAGACACUGACAGCUCAAUGCUCGCAGUGUGAGACUGAACGGGACGCACAAUAUAUACACAACCUCAGCUUCAUAGGACAACCCGCUGAACUUAA
rnacentral:misc_RNA from 1 species